rnacentral:rRNA from 1 species
UAGAUGGAUAGCUUGGCUCGAUAGCUGAAGAAGGACGUGGCAAGCUGCGAUAAGCCUAGGCGAGAUGCAUGCAGUCUUUGAACCUAGGAUUUCCGAAUGCGACUUCGCUAAACACUCCGAAAGGAGAAGAAACGCGGGGAAUUGAAACGUCUUAGUACCCGCAGGAAAAGAAAUCAAUUGAGAUUCUGUGAGUAACAGCGAGCGAAAGCAGAACAGGGCAAACCGAAUCUGUUGCAGUAAUGUAAUAGAAAUGUGGUGUUGUAGGACCAUUCUUAUGAUCCAAAUUGUGCAUUUUAAGUUUCCUGGAAUGGAACGCUAUAAAGGGUGAUAGCCCCGUAAAAGAAGCAAUUUGGACUUGAGUGAGUUCCUGAGUACUGCAUCUUGGAAAUGAUGUGGGAAGCCGGGGGACAUCAACCUCCAACCCUAAAUACAAGUCGAGUCCGAUAGAGUAUAGUACCGUGAGGGAACGCUGAAAAGAACUCUUGACCGAGAGUUAAAAGAGCUUGAAAUCUAAUAGCCAUCGAUUGACACGCGCUUUAGGGUGUGUGUCGUACGUUUUGAAUAACGUGCCAGGGAGUGCAUUUGAGUGGCGAGAAUAAUUCGAAAAGAAGUAUUCGUAGGGAAACCAAAAGCCCGCAGUUUACGAGGGGCAAGGUGUGAAAGUGCCUUGAGUCACUUGAAUGCGACCCGAAGCCAAGCGAUCUAUUCGUGGGUAAGGUGAAGCGCCUGUUAAAGGGCGUGGAGGCCUGAAGAGGUUCUACGAGCAAGUGUUCUUCUAACCUGCGAAUAGGGGUAAAAAGCCAAUCGAGCUUGGAGAUAGCUGGUUCCUGCCAAAUUUGGCCGUAGUCAAAUCUCCACGGAGAUAGUUUAGGGGGUAGAGCUACGGAUUGGGGAUUUAGGGGGAGAAAUCCCUCGGUCCCUUGUCCAACUCCGAAUACCUAAACGUCAUAGAUGUGGGGGGACGGGGGCUCGGGGUAAACUUGAGUCCCGAGAGGGAAACAACCCAGACUACAGUUAAGGUCCCUAAAUACUAACUAAGUGUGAAUGGCACAAGGUUGUUUAUAGCCUAAGACAGCGAGGAGGUUAGCUUAGAAGCAGCUACCCUUUAAAAAGUGCGUAACAGCUUACUUGUCAAGGCUUUAAGCGCUGAAAAUGGACGGGGCUAAGUUAGUUACCGAUACUGUAGACCACCGAAAGGUGAGUGGUAGGCAGGCGUCCCGUAUGGGAUAAAGCUCUUCCGAGAGGAAGGGUGAACCGUGUGGGAAUGAGAAUCCUGGUAAAAGUAGGAACAUAGCAGAGUGAGAAUCUCUGCCGCCGGAAGGGCAAGGGUUCCUUGGCAACGCAGAUCAGCCAAGGGUAAGUUGAUCCUAACCGCGAUCAUAACUUGAUUUAGCGGGAAAGGGAAACCGGUUAAUAUUCCGGUACUGCUAGAGUAUGCGUGGCAACACAAGUUUGUUUUCCAACGCAUCGAGCUAGUUCGACAGGUUUUUCAGACUUGUUAAUAAGUGCAAUUCAAAGGAGUAUCUUAACGAUGAGAAUUUGAAUAACGCUUAGGUGCAUAUUGUAAAAUAUGUUCAGAUGAUGCUUGGUGCCCGUGAAAAGGGAAAUAAAAUAGAUCUUUAGUAUCCAUACCCAGAACCAGCACAGGUGCCCCUAGGUGAGAAACCUCAGGUGUUAAGGGAUAAUCUAGUUAAGGGAAUUCGGCAAAUUAGCCCCGUACCUUCGGUAUAAGGGGUCCCUGGAUUCGUGUUUGUAUAGAUGCGAGUUCAGGGCACAGUGACAAAGGGUGUCCGACUGUUUAACAAAAACAUAACCGACUGCUAGCCUGUAAAGGUGUGAAUAGUCGGUGACGUCUGCCCAGUGCGAGUACUUUAAACUUCAUUUCAAUGGAGCCAAGAGCUCGUAAACGGCGGGGGUAACUAUAACUCUCUUAAGGUAGCGAAAUGCCUUGCCGUUUGAUUGACGGCCUGCAUGAAUGGCGUAACGAGAUGCCCACUGUCCCUAACUAGAACCCUCCGAAUAUUCCGUUCUGGUGCAAAGGCCAGAGACUUCCAGUGGGAAGCGAAGACCCCGUGAAACUUUACUGUAGCCUGUUGUUGCAAGGCAAGAUGAGUUAUAUAGCGUAAUUGGGAGUCGCUUAGGUGUGGACGCCAGUUCACAUUUAGACGCCAAUGUAACACCAAUUUUCUUGUUUUACCUUGCUAACCUCUCAGGAGGGACAUCGGCAGGUGGACAGUUUGGCUGGGGUGGCACGCUGUUGAAAAGAUAUCAACAGCGCCCAAAGGUUGGCUCAGACGGGUCAGAAAUCCGUCGUAGAGUGCAAGAGCAAAAGCCAGCUUAACUAGGAUUUUUACAGAAGAUAUCUUAGUAGAGAAAUCUUGGUCUAGCGAACUCCUAUCUCUCAUUGUAUGGGGGGUAGGCAUGACUGAAAAGUUACUCCGGGGAUAACAGAGUUGUCGCGCCUGAGAGCUCCUAUCGACGGCGCGGCUUGCUACAUCGAUGUCGGCUCUUCCUAUCCUGGGCGUGCAGAAGCGUCCAAGGGUGGGGGUGUUCACCCAUUAAAAGGGAUCGUGAGCUGGGUUCAGAACGCUGUGAGGCAGUUUGUUUGAUAUCUACUGGAAGUGUUAGAAGUCUGAAGGGAAGAAUCUCUUAGUACGAGAGGAACGGGGAAUCGACGCCACUGGUCUACCAGUUAUCCGACAGGGUAUUUGCUGGGCAGCUACGCGUUAAUGGAUAAGUGCUGAAAGCAUCUAAGCACGAAACCAGCCCUGAAAAGAGACUUCUUAGAUGCCUAUAGAAGAUAGGUUUGAUAGAAGCGGGGUGUAAGUAC